AGAGGGUCUAAUGCUUUAAAACCCCAUCAGUUACAUUGGCUAAAACUGGAAGGAAAAAGAAGAAGAAGAAUUGGAACACGAGCUCUAGUGGGUUUAGCUUGGAAGAGCUGUUGCUUCUUCUUGAGUCUUUCACUGGCUUAAUUAUAGCCCGAGAUUUAUUUUCAUUUCAUUAUCUUAAUAAUUUCAAAACCCUUAAACUCAGCUCUCUCAAAUCAUGCCAAUUUCUUUGACAUUUUUUCAUACGUUUUCUUUCCUUUCAUUGCUUCCUUUUUUUCCUUCUCAUUACCAAUGCUCAAACCUUAUCUUACUCUAUCAUUUCUCUUAAUACACUUCUUCUUCUUUCAUAUAUUGCUCUCUUUAAUACCACUUUUAUGGAGUACGGUAGCGUUGGAGGAGGAAGUGGCGGUGGUGGUAGUGCUUCCGGUGGUGACCAUGACCCCUCCGAUCCCCAGAGGAGGAAGAAGCGUUAUCACCGUCACACUGCUAAUCAAAUUCAGAAUCUUGAAGCGAUGUUCAAGGAAUGCCCUCACCCAGAUGAGAAGCAGAGGUUACAGUUAAGCAGAGAGUUGGGUUUGGCACCUCGCCAAAUCAAGUUUUGGUUUCAAAACAGGAGAACCCAGAUGAAGGUGAUGCGUUUUCUUUUUUCUGAAUUAAUUUUUUAUUUAUCACUACAGUAAAAGAUGUGGAUUCCAAUUCCUUUCAGGCCCAACACGAAAGAGCCGAUAACUGUGCACUUCGAGCUGAGAACGAUAAGAUACGAUGUGAAAAUAUAGCCAUUAGAGAGGCUCUCAAGAAUGUUAUCUGCCCCUCCUGCGGUGGUCCUCCUGUUACUGAAGAUUCCUUUUUCGAUGAACACAAGUUACGAAUGGAGAAUGCCCAUUUGAAAGAGGAGCUUGAUAGAGUUUCCAGCAUUGCUGCCAAAUACAUUGGAAGGCCAAUUUCACACCUUCCUCCAGUCCAGCCUAUUCACUUUUCUUCUCUGGAUUUGUCCAUGGGGAGUUUUGGUGGUCCUUCUCUUGAUCUUGAUCUUAUACCAUCUACUUCGAAUUUGCCAUUUCACCCACUUGGUAUUUCAGACAUGGACAAGCCCCUCAUGACUGACAUUGCAGCAAAUGCCAUGGAUGAAUUGCUAAGGCUUUUGCAGACUGAUGAACCUUUGUGGAUUAAGUCACCCACGGAUGGCAGGGAUGUUCUUCAUCUUGAUACUUACCAAACCAUUUUUCCCAGGUCUAUUUCUCGCUUGAAGAAUCCAAAUGUUCGAAUUGAGACAUCCAGAGAUUCAGGUGUUGUCAUCACGAAUAGUUUAGCCUUGGUGGACAUGUUUAUGGAUGCAAACAAGUGGGUCGAGCUAUUUCCUACCAUUGUCUCUGUGGCAAAGACCCUUGAAGUAAUUUCUUCUGGAAUGCUAGGCAGUCACGGUGGUUCUUUGCAACUGAUGUAUGAAGAGUUGCAGGUUCUGUCACCACUGGUGCCAACUCGAGAAUUCUAUAUCCUACGUUAUUGCCAGCAAAUUGAGCAAGGCUUAUGGGCAAUUGUUAAUGUUUCAUAUGAUAUUCCACAAUUUGCUUCUCAAUGUCAAUCUCGUAGGCUUCCUUCUGGAUGCAUGAUUCAGGAUAUGCCUAAUGGAUACUCCAAGGUUGUCAAAUUGCUCCAUUGAGGUUUAUUAUCAGUGGUCAGUUCAGCAUUGUAUUUCCAAAUAUAUUAGAAAUGUAGUGAUUUUUUCACAUUCACAUCUAUUCAUCUCAAAUGCCAAAGCAGGUUACUUGGGUAGAAAAUGUAGAGAUAGAAGACAAAACCCCAACUCAUAGGUUCUACAGAGACCUUGUUCACAGUGGAAUGGCCUUUGGAGCUGAACGGUGGCUCGCUACUCUGCAAAGAUUGUGUGAAAGAUUUGCAUGUCUAACGGUGUCAGGCACUUCAACUCCGGAUCUUGGUGGAGUAAUUCCAUCACCUGAUGGUAAGAGAAGCAUGAUGAAACUUGCUCAAAGAAUGGUGAACAGUUUCUGUGCUAGCAUCAGCACAUCUAACAGCCAUCGAUGGACCACUGUUUCUGGUUCGAAUGAGGUUGGAGUUCGAGUUCAUAAGAGCACAGAUCCUGGGCAACCCAAUGGUGUAGUUCUUAAUGCAGCCACUACCUUUUGGCUUCCAGUUUCUCCACAAAAUGUCUUCAAUUUCUUCAAGGAUGAAAGAACUCGACCUCAGUGGGAUGUUCUCUCUAGUGGCAAUGCAGUGCAAGAGGUUGCUCAUAUUGCUAAUGGCUCACAUCCUGGGAACUGCAUAUCAGUUCUGCGAGCAUUCAACACAGGUCAGAACAAUAUGUUAAUUCUGCAAGAGAGCUGCAUGGAUGAAUCGGGUUCGCUUGUAGUAUACUGCCCAGUUGAUCUUCCAGCGAUCAACAUAGUAAUGAGUGGAGAGGACCCUUCUUACAUUCCCUUGUUGCCAUCAGGAUUCACAAUUUCACCAGAUGGUCGUCCAGAUAAUGGAAAUGGAGCUUCUUCCAGCUCUAGCACACACGCAAGUAUGGGUAGGUCAAGUGGUUCACUAAUAACAGUAUCAUUUCAAAUACUAGUGAGCAGUUUGCCAUCUGCAAAACUAAAUCUUGAAUCAGUAACCACGGUUAAUAACCUUAUCAGCACCACUGUCCAGCAAAUUAAGGCUGCCAUGAACUGCCCUUCUAGUUCCUGUUGAUCUCUGAUUCUGCAGCAAUUGCAAUACAAAUGUUUCUUCUCUUCCCUCUCUACCAUCUUUAACUAUGGAGAUAGAGAGAUAUUUUUAGAGCCUAUAUUUAAGCAAAAGAGGUAUUCAAUGUGAGAAAAGUACUGGAAAGGUUAGUUGAGGCCUUGAAUGCCCUCUCAUCAACAAUAGAAGAUGGUUAUUUACUGCAAGCUGCUUGGGCUGUUUUCUUCUGCCAUACUUCAGUCUACACCCACUAGAUUUAAUUUAAUUUAAUUUAAUAUUUAUUUUAUUUUUGGGUUUUUAUUUUUAAAAUUGGGAAGCAUAGUAUCAUUUAAAGUGGGAUUCAAGAACGCACCAUUCAUCUCUUUCCUGCUGCCGGAGGGUCUUGUUUAGUUUUUGGUUAAUCUCUCUUCGCUGACUCUAUAGAAGAGCAAGAAAAAUGUGUGGUUCGGGUAUUGACUUCCGUGCAUUUACAUUUAUUUAGCAAUCAAUGAUUUUAUUUUAUUUUUAUUUUCACUGCUUCCUGUAAUAAAACUCUCUCUUGAGUGGAUUGAAGUGUGUGAAUGAAGACAGCAGCCAGGAGUUGAAAUUCAUGAGUGCCG
rnacentral:misc_RNA from 1 species